GUCGUAACAAGGUUUCCGUAGGUGAACCUGCGGAAGGAUCAUUAACGAGUUUUGAAAGGGGUUGUCGCUGGCCUUUCACGAGGCAUGUGCACACCCUGCUCAUCCACUCUCAACCUCUGUGCACUUAUUGUAGGUCGGUGGAAGGCUCGCAAGAGCUGGAARCCUGCUUAYGUUUUACUACAAACGCUUCAGUUAUAGAAUGUUUACUUGCGUAUAACGCAUUUAUAUACAACUUUCAGCAACGGAUCUCUUGGCUCUCGCAUCGAUGAAGAACGCAGCGAAAUGCGAUAAGUAAUGUGAAUUGCAGAAUUCAGUGAAUCAUCGAAUCUUUGAACGCACCUUGCGCUCCCUGGUAUUCCGGGGAGCACGCCCGUUUGAGUGUCAUGGUAUUCUCAACCUUCCUCACUUUUGUGACUGGAAGGCUUGGAUGUGGAGGUCGUGCGGGCUCUCGCGAGUCGGCUCCUCUGAAAUGCAUUAGCGUGAACGUUUACGGAUCGCUAUCAGUGUGAUAAUUAUCUGCGCUGUUAGUGUUGAAGUAUUGCUUAGUGUCGCGCUUCUAACCGUCCUUCAGUUGGACAACUUAUCUGACAUCUGGCCUCAAAUCGGGCGGGACUA
rnacentral:rRNA from 1 species